CAUAUCUAGAUAGCUUAUUUUCAUACAGAGUGAACACAGAGCAGACAAAUGGUAUGUGGUUCUCUUUAACCCUUUCACUCCAUCCAACCUAUUACAGCCUGAUCUACCUCCUAAGGAAACAAAUCAGAGGGUAUCCAAGAGUGGUAGAAUUUAUGUCAGACAUUCUAGGUUUCUCGCUUUAAAUCAAGGUGACUUACCAUUCACCAGAUAACUACUCUAAAUAUUAUAGAUCAGGGUUCUCAAUCUCAGUACUAUUGACAAUUUGGGCUAGAUAAUUCUUUCUUGUAGCAGGGCUGUCCUACACAUUGUAGAAGGUUUAGCAGCAUUCUUGGCUUCUAACUGAUAGAUGCCAACAGUACUCCCCACCCCACCAAGUUUUGAUAACCAGAAAAAUCUCCAGAUAUUGCCAAGGGUCUGCUGGCGGUAAAAAUCACCCCAGGUUGAAAGCCAAGGAAACAGAAGACAGUGUAGUGUAUCACACUCUACUUUCUUCCUUUAUUUACCUUGAUUUUGACCUUUUAAGUUUCCACUCUUCUCAACAUCAUGCAAUUCACUUGGACCCAAAAAACAUCUUUAAUUGGUUUCGUUUGGCAUUCUCUUCUACUCAAUUUUAAGCUUGCCUGCUGAUGUCUCUACCCCAGUGUGAACACCUUUCCCUGAAUAUUUAGCCAGUGCCUUAGAUUGUGGGGCCUAUCCUCAGGGUCGACUUUCUUUCAAUUUACUUACUUUCAAAGUGGAAAUUCUCAUUCCUACCCCAACUGCUUCAAAGGUUUGCAAAGUUUAAAUAAGAUAACAAAUGUUAAAGUGCUUUGAAAAGGUAAAAACCUUUUUCUGCAAAUAUAUUUAAUAAAUGACCGUAACAGUAGGAAUGUUUCUUACUCCAUGGAAGCCUGUAGCAAGUUACAGACAGGUAAAGGCUGGUAACUCUCAAACAUAACUACCCCAUUAGUAUACAUUUUAUAGUGAACAUGGCAGCAAAGUUCAACUCAACUCAAAGUUCAACCCAAGUACCAAAGUCAAAUGAGGCUUAUGCACUACCUUGGGGAAAAAUAUUUUGGGUCGCUGGAUAGCUACCCAAAGAAGUGUUGUAGCGCUGGAUUUUAAAGGUCUGCAAACCCUCUCUCCUGUCCUGUUGACUCCCUCGGCCCCUUACCAUUUCCUCUUCUGGUCUUAGGAUAGAAAAUGAGGGAUACUCAGUAGAAGCACCAGGGGGCGGAACCCAGCAUGUGAUUACGCCUCGGCUUUCUAGCCAGGCACAGUAAUUUCCCUCUUGAGGGAGUAACCACUUCUCUACCCAUAACCUUUAAAUCAGCUGCACCAUACCCCUGUGCACUGUGUGUGAACUUCUGUGUGCAUGUAUGUGUGUACACACUAAGAAUCGAGAUUCUUUUAGGAAUUUGGGGAUUGCAGGAACCAGAGGAUCAGGCAUUCCUAGAACCCAUUUAUGAUUUUGUAAAGAAAGAGGAGAAGACGAUUUCCCUUUAAAGGUCUAUUUCACUGUGAAUGGUGGUUAAGAAGUGCCACCUAGAACCUCGGCACAUGUGAAGUAGGACCAGACUUCUCUAGUCAAGAAACUGAACAGGCACUGCUAGCAAGGCAGGAAACGUGAACUUGACAAACCACGUCUGAGCUUGCCAAGAGGCUUAGCCUUUAUUUCAGGGUCAGAAUCUUGUCUUCUUUUAUCCAACUUGGAAACGAAGAAAAUAUUUGCGUAGUAUUCAGAUGUAUCAUCCUUAAGAAUGUGAAUAUUUAAGAUAAUGGAUCAAGUAGAAAUAGGUCAAAAGAUAUAGCACAGAGUUAAAAAUAGCCACCACAGAAAAUGUGUUUGCAUUUGGCGUGGUGCCUUUUCACACUCAUGUAAUUGGCCAUUUGGCUCGCUGUGUAAAGCAGCCAGCUUCCCUCAGCUCUGGGAUAUGGGGGUUAGGGUACUCUGUUACUUUCCCCAAACCACAUAAAUAGAAGACCAAAUUAGUUAUUUCUACAGUUAAAGCUAAAAUUCCCUUCCUUUCAUGUCAAUGAUGAGACUUUCUAAUGUGAAAAAAUUACCAUUACUAUCAGCAAAGGAACUAUUCUCUCUUGAGGCUUGUUGUUUUGUUUUGUUUUAAUUUGCGUAUUCCCUCCUCCCUCCCAGUCUCUAGACCCCCUUCGUGGAUGGUAUCAGAUGAUUUCAGUCCAACCUUCCAUUGCAUUCUCUGACUGAGCCAACACAGCUGGAUUCUCAGCCAACUAUGAAGUUUAAAUUGACUCCGCUUUCUGUCUCUCUGAAGAUAACGUUAAGCUGCAGCUCCGUAUCUGUGAAAACCCAUUUCACAGCAUCUGCAUCCCUGGAUUGCUAAAUACCCUUGUCUAGUUACCCAAAUAUUAAUGGAUCCCAUGGAAUAAGGUGGCAUGAUUUAGGCACAAGCAAUUACCAAAGGAUUUUGAAAAGCAGUAACUCCAAAUUAUCUUGUAAAGUUGAGAAUAAUCUGAGAAGAGCUAUUGUAAGACUGGGAAUCAAGUAACAAAAUAAAGAUAUGAACCGUCCGAAAAAAUGUUAAGGGCAGCCAGAGAGAAAGGUCGGGUUACCCACAGACCUUCUGCCCAUCAGACUAACAGCGG
rnacentral:lncRNA from 1 species